rnacentral:rRNA from 1 species
GAUGAACGCUGGCGGCGUGCCUAAUACAUGCAAGUCGAGCGAACAGACGAGGAGCUUGCUCCUCUGACGUUAGCGGCGGACGGGUGAGUAACACGUGGAUAACCUACCUAUGAGACUGGGAUAACUUCGGGAAACCGGCGCUAAUACCGGAUAAUAUAUUGAACCGCAUGGUUCAAUAGUGAAAGACGGUUUUGCUGUCACUUAUAGAUGGAUCCGCGCCGCAUUAGCUAGUUGGUAAGGUAACGGCUUACCAAGGCAACGAUGCGUAGCCGACCUGAGAGGGUGAUCGGCCACACUGGAACUGAGACACGGACCAGACUACUACGGGAGGCAGCAGUAGGGAAUCUUCCGCAAUGGGCGAAAGCCUGACGGAGCAACGCCGCGUGAGUGAUGAAGGUCUUCGGAUCGUAAAACUCUGUUAUUAGGGAAGAACAAAUGUGUAAGUAACUAUGCACGUCUUGACGGUACCUAAUCAGAAAGCCACGGCUAACUACGUG